UACGGAGGGUGCGAGCGUUGUCCGGAAUCACUGGGCGUAAAGGGCGCGUAGGUGGCUUGGCAAGCGUGUGGGGAAAGCCCGGGGCUCAACCCCGGGUCUGCCGUGCGAACUGCUAUGGCUUGAGCACUGUAGAGGCAGGUAGAAUUCCGGGUGUAGCGGUGGAAUGCGUAGAGAUCCGGAAGAAUACCGGUGGCGAAGGCGGCCUGCUGGGCAGUGGCUGACACUGAGGCGCGACAGCGUGGGGAGCAAACAGG
rnacentral:rRNA from 1 species